GCGCCCGUAGUUCAACUGGAUAGAAUACCGGUCUUCGAAACCGGGGGUUGUAGGUUCGAAUCCUACCGGGCGCACUA
rnacentral:tRNA from 1 species